rnacentral:rRNA from 1 species
GUGGGGAAUAUUGGACAAUGGGCGAAAGCCUGACGCAGCCAUGCCGCGUGAAUGAUGAAGGUCUUAGGAUUGUAAAAUUCUUUCACCGGGGACGAUAAUGACGGUACCCGGAGAAGAAGCUCCGGCUAACUUCGUGCCAGCAGCCGCGGUAAUACGAAGGGGGCUAGCGUUGCUCGGAAUUACUGGGCGUAAAGGGCGCGUAGGCGGACAGCUUAGUCAGAGGUGAAAGCCCAGGGCUCAACCUUGGAAUUGCCUUUGAUACUGGCUGUCUUGAGUUUGGGAGAGGUGAGUGGAACUCCGAGUGUAGAGGUGAAAUUCGUAGAUAUUCGGAAGAACACCAGUGGCGAAGGCGACUCACUGGCCCAAUACUGACGCUGAGGCGCGAAAGCGUGGGGAGCAAACAGGAUUAGAAACCCCAGUAGUCC